rnacentral:rRNA from 1 species
GAUGAACGCUAGCUACAGGCUUAACACAUGCAAGUCGAGGGGAAACGAUGAGAGAGCUUGCUCUCUUAGUCGUCGACCGGCGCACGGGUGAGUAACGCGUAUCCAACCUGCCUCUGACCAAGGGAUAACCCGUCGAAAGUCGGACUAAUACCUUAUGCAGUCGUCGGAAGUCAUCUGAUGACGACGAAGGAUUUCAUCGGUGAGAGAUGGGGAUGCGUCUGAUUAGCUUGUUGGCGGGGUAACGGCCCACCAAGGCGACGAUCAGUAGGGGUUCUGAGAGGAAGGUCCCCCACAUUGGAACUGAGACACGGUCCAAACUCCUACGGGAGGCAGCAGUGAGGAAUAUUGGUCAAUGGGCGUAAGCCUGAACCAGCCAAGUAGCGUGCAGGAUGACGGCCCUAUGGGUUGUAAACUGCUUUUAUGCGGGGAUAAAGUGAGGGACGUGUCCUUCAUUGCAGGUACCGCAUGAAUAAGGACCGGCUAAUUCCGUG